UGUGUGUAGGUUUUGAUGUUUAUCUAUUUGAAAAUGUUUCACGAAUGUAACCAGAGGAUUUGAUAGUUAUUUCAAUAUAAAAAAUGAUAUCUGGUAUGCUUGCCAUUAACUAUCUACGAAAGUUUAGAUAAGCUGGAUGUAAGCAAUUCAGGGCAACUGUUCGGCUUUCAACAAGGAGAAUAAUCCAUACCACAUAGUCGGUUAAUUUCAGACCUGAUUCAGCAAUUAAAAUUUUACAAUGAUAGAAAUCCUGUAGAGCUGCGUCCCUUGCAAUCAAAUUAAGCCGAGGCGGAGUAUGUUUUAGUUGUGUUUGGUUAAUAUCUAGUGGUUACUAUUUCGUGCAUAUUCAGGACACAGAUUUCUUUUGUGGGCAUACAAUUCGUCAGAACUUAGAAUCCAUUAUCCUUAAGUUGAAUCAGGACUCAAUGUGGAAAAUUUCACCAACAUUUAUAAAAAUACCCGACAGUGUACUGAGUAUGGCUCCGUUAAUAUAGACAUGGGUGGUACGAAUCUCACAGGAG
rnacentral:lncRNA from 1 species